UUCUUAUAAAGACACUGACCAGAGCAGAACUUUAUUAUAUUGAAAAUUAAAAUAGCAAGUUAUAAACUAAUAUCCAUAUCAUAACAAGCUAGUCCUGGAUCAUAAAAUCAACAAAUUUCUUGAUCAAUACAUCCCUCUCACUGCUGGUUGUGAACAAGUGAAAGCAAUGUUCCUCACCUUUUGUUUCAUAAAACUCCACUUUCCCACCCCACCCGCUGUUCCCCAAAAUUCUAUAAUAAUUUUCUCCCCUGAUUCUCAGCCAAUCUUUCUCUGCCACACACACCAACACUUUAUCGCACGCCAGUUUUGAUAAAUUCGGAUCCAUUGCCGGAUUCAAUUUCGGAUCAUCAUCACACCCGGAACUUGUUGGACACAUGUACUUGUACAUUUUAUCUUCCUCCUUGCCCCCGAAGAAUGGAUGCACAAUUAGUACGCCAGUUAUGUCUAAACCAGCCAAUCCAAUAGCACCAGGCUUGGACUGCAACAUAGUGGGCUAUAUUUGCCCCAGCACUCUCCCCUGCGAAAAAAACCCGCCCAAAAUCCAUAUGCUUGUUGAGCCAUGGUUCGGGCCCUAGACCGUUGGAGUGACUAGCAAUCCAUUGGAGGCCGACCCAUGAAUCGUCAUAUCCAAUUGGUAGAGGGUGCUCUGGUGCUAACCUAUAGUCGAUUGAAAUGGCAAUGACAUUAGCCUGAGAAACCAAAGAAGUAAGAAAGUUCUUGGUCACAACAUCAAAUGGUGAUCCGAUGCAGAAACCUCCACCAUGGUAGUGGACGACGAGGGGCAAUUUUCGAUCUGGGUUGUGGAGCUUGGGGAUGAAGAUACGAGCCUUGACACCAGUCUCAAUCGAGACAACAACAUCUUUAGAUUGUACCCCUGUUUCGGGGUCUGGGCCUGCAGGAACAUGGACCAUGCUCAUGUACCUAUGUAUUCGACCAUCCUUGUAGACUUUGAAGAAGGGUGGAAAAUCAUGGGUUAUUUCAUUAGCGCUUGAAUCCAUAUCAAUAUUGGAAAACAGAGAGAGGUGAGACGUGGGAGUUAUUGAGAAGUUUGUGCGGCUGUGAUAAGGAGCAAACCAGCUCGUCAUGGAAU
rnacentral:misc_RNA from 1 species